GGGACGCGAGGCGAGGCCGCCACCCGCGCGGCGUCCCCGGGCCCCGCUCCUGCUCCCAGCGCCGCGCACUGGCCGGCGGGGCCGGGGCCGGCCGGGGAGGCGGCACAGGGCGGCGGGGCGGGGGCCCCGAAGUGGGUUUCGGGCCGCCACCGGCGCUGGCACAGGGCGCAGAGGGCGGCGCGUGGUGGACUCCGCGCCCGGGCAUCGCACCCGGCCGCUUUCGGCUCUGUGGCUCUGCCCCGGCCCGGAAAACCCGGCGCCUUCCAGGCCCAUCGAAAGAUGGAUUCUGUUGACGUAUCUGGCGGCCCUGGCGAGCCGGGUGGAAAGUUGGGUUUUGCCAGAUCGCACUGGGCUCGUCUUUGUGACGCUCGGCCAGCCCCGCAUCCUCCCGGAGCUGGAAGUCCCUGGAGUAGGUUUGGGGCACGACGGAUGGACGGAGAGAGGAAUGAGGCACGGAAGAAGAAGGUGGCUUUGGAGAAGCGAAUUGUCACCCACCCCAAGGCACGCAGUCCGCUUCCCUCUCUGCCUGCCAAACUUUUAUGAAUAUUCCUUUUGUGAUGGGGGAAGCUUAAUGAAUUCAGCCCAGUUUUCCAGGGAAAAGCAACCCGGCUUUAACAAUGGUUUGAGAACUUAAUCAAUGAGAAGGGCAGGGGAGGAGGAGGAGGAGGAGGCGCUGACACCAGUAAUCGGCGAUGUGGUUGCUUUUUGCAGAGUCAGGUAGGGGAGAGGUGGGCAGGGCAGGGCGCAGCGCCUGGGUGGCCGCGUUCCGGGGGAGUGUCAGGCGCUUUUACCUGUGCCCACUGGAGCCACCCACCGCCGUGCCCCCACCUCACGGUCUGCCCAGAACUCUGCGACGGGGCUUGAGGGGCCGCUCGCGGCAGCGCGCGGGCGGCCCCCCUCAUCUGGCGUUUUUAAGGAUGUGUAAAUAUUUUGCUGAGGGUAAGUGACAUCAACAGAAUGAUAUUCCGCAGAGCCCGGGUGUGCAGCGAUGAUAAAUAGAUACGGCCAAACAAAGUUUUGAUAACCGCGGAUUCUCAUGGCUGGCUCUGUUUCAUUUUGGGUCUUUGUUUUUGUUGGUUUAGCAUUAUCUCUCAUCCUCUGGUGUGAUCCCUUUAUUUAGCUGUUUCUUGGAAGCUUCUCUUUAGAACAGAGAGAAAAGCAGCCAGCAGGGAGAAAAUGAUUCUUAGCCUUGCAUGCAUCGGGCAAGGUUUUCUAUGCUUUCCCCGUGAGUCUUUCCGGGACUGUUUUCUAUGUCUCUCUUCCUCCUUUCAAGUCACCAGAAUCGUUUGUUGAUUGACCAGGAGAUUUCGGAUAACUUUGAAAAUGUGUUGUGAUGUGCCUUUGUUACAGGAAAGAGGUGGCAGUACAGUGGGGAGGCUAGUGGGAG
rnacentral:lncRNA from 1 species